GGGGGUGUAGUUUAGUGGCAGAGCUCUUGCCUAGCAUGUGAGAGGCCCUGGGUUCAUUCCCAGAUCCCCA
rnacentral:tRNA from 1 species